ensembl:lncRNA
AUGGCCUGUGUUUCUCAGAUAGAGGAUGUGCUGAAGCCCGCCGAGCAGGGGAUUGUGGGAGUCACAGGGCUGCUGGAUGAGAUGCGCCCCCUGCUGGAUGACCUGAGGAAAGACGUGACGACGGGAACGACGCAUGCGAACGAAGCUCAGGAUCAGGCCGAUGCAGCUCAGGAAGAAGCCGAACAAGCGGCAGAGGAGCUGGAAGCACUGAAGGAGGAGUUAGAGCGAUUGAAGCGUGCGUCGGCUGAGAACACUGAGGCGGGUGAAGACUCCGCCCGCUUACAGGCGCUGCAGGGGGAGGCGGAGUCUCUCAUGACGGACACCAGCGACAUCAUGCAGGCUCUGAAAGAUAAGGAGGCAUCUGUUCAUCAAGGAGCGGCGGAGCUGCAGCAGAACGCUGAGCGACUGACCGGUCUGGACGAUCAGGUGAAGAAACUCCGAGACGACAUCCGCUAUAAAGUCAACAGUCUGAACAUAUGCCAGGGCUGA